CGGUGUGUGCUGCAACCCAUCUGCCGUUUUCAACAUUUAAGCUUUAAAAUGGUGAUGGGAAAAGGGUGGUAUUAAGUUUGAAGCUUGACUGUUGCCACCGUUUUAGCAGUUUAUUAUCAACUGAAACCAAUUAAUGUAUAGAAACCAACUUUAAGUAGGGGAAACGAUGGAACCAAGAUGACUAAUUUUGGAGUUGCCUGGACGAUGUCAACGCUGCAAAUGUCAACUGACGAUGGGUAAUAAACGCAAGGCUUUCAAUACGGUGGGAUAUCAUAUCGACUUAAGUGAAAGAGUAUUUCACAUCCUCAUGUUACACGGCUGACCGUUUAGAUAUUUAUAUGAAUUUUCAUAGCUUCAACUCUAUGACUAUGUGACUCUAAAGCAAAUUUUACAACGAAUAGUUGUGGCCUAUGAUUUUGCCUUUUUGAAUGGAAAAGUGAAAAUGAGUUUCAGAAUAUUGCACAAGAAAAGGGUUCCUCGAGGAAUGUUAACUCUAGAUCUUUAUCGCCGUCGUGUCCACUGAGUUAUUUCGACAGCUGUUUCCGGGAUUAUUUAGCGUCAUUGUGGGUCGUGAUUUUUUUUCCUCAGAUGGGAGGUUAAAAAAAGAAAGAAAUGUAAACAACAAGCAAUGGUUCUAGAAGCCGUCAACAAUGAAGUAGCGCCUCAGUUGUAACCGUUAAAAAGUAAUUUGUUCAUUUGCAUUACAUAGACAUGGAACAGUUGUAGCUCUUUGUGCAGGGGGAAGUAAAUAAACGUCGGACAAGUUUCCUGUUUUCGUUUUCUUUCACUGGGUUGCAUUCUGGUUGCAUUGCCAGCUAACAAGCCAGUCAAUCGUUUGGUGAGAUGGCAACGUAAUGAAUUUGACUAUUGUGGCAGUACUUAUUACAUCUGUAGUUACAUAGAAAUUACACAAUAUGGCUUUGAGCUCCGGCGGGUGGGCUCAGAUGCCGCCUCCUGCUCAAUCCUCAAUCCUGGGAGCACUGCAAUCCACCUGCAAUACAGUACUCAUGUCUGUACGAGUAUCGGUGUGCCAUUCAGGACUCAGGCCGCUGUGUCUUCCAGGAGCUGGGGAUGAUACACUUCGUCUUCAACUAAGCAUGGACCCGAAUCGGGCUGGAGAGUUUCGAUUAGCCCUUAGGGAUGUCUGCAGUUCUGGUCGCAGUGUGUUUUUAGCUGAAUUUGAUCUACGGACAGUGAAAUAUGAGAUUAAAUCCCCGCGCUGCCAUGAACUUCGACUGACCACACCUCCUCAUGACUGCCUCAGCUUCAAAUUUCGCAGUGAGCAGGAGGCCCAGGAAUGGGCGACUGUUGUGAUGUCAUCACUGAGGGAGGCACAAAGAGUGGCAAAUAUCUCCCAGAAUUCAGUGGAAGAAGGACAUAAGAACAUUGAACCUGCUGAACAACAGGGUUUGACAGAAUUAGCACCCAAAGAGGAACUGUGUAUAGAGUUAGCCAAAGCCAUAGAGGCAGGAGAUACCAGUUCUGCCAUGCAACAUGCCACAGCCCUGGCCCAGCAGCAGUUGUCUCUCAGCAUCCAGCCCUCACAGAAGAACUAUGAGGAUGAAGAUAUCAAUCUUGCUGUGGUAGUGGAGGAUGCCUCUUCUUCCUGUUGUGUCACAGUUAAAGUGAUGCCACACAUGACUGUCUCUUCACUCAAACAGCAGAUUUUUUUGGAGUAUGGGUUUCACCCUCGGGUGCAGCGCUGGGUCAUUGGUCAGUGCCUGUGUACCGACGCACGCUCGCUGGCAUCUUACGGGGUGGCACGGCAUGGCGACACAGCCUUCCUGUACCUGCUGUCUGCCCGCCAGGCUCGCCUGAGUCGCCAGCUGUGCCAACAGGACCAGGAGAGCGCCCUCCUCAUGCCCAGCAGUGCCCCAAACUCGACCCCCGUCCCCACCUCCACCCCUAUCCUUGCCCCCACUCCACCCACCAAUGGACCUGCCUCUCAUGACUGGAGGGGCUACAGCACCCUGCCAUCCAGACUCAGCCACAGCAGCACGAACAGCAGUGCAGCAGAGAAGCUCAGCAUAGCAGACAUAGUGAAUCUGGACUCACUGCAGCUGGGUGGGCCCAAUGUCAAGGUCAAAAACACUCAGGCUGGCUGGGCGUGUCCAUCCUGCACGUUCAUCAACAAAGCGAGUCGUCCCGGCUGUGAGAUCUGUAGCGCGGCGCGGCCGGAGUCGCACCAGCAGGACCGCAUCCAACAGACAGGACAAAGGAAAAAGGCCAGAAAGAGAUCAGUUGGUGCAAAGAAGCGCAGUGCAGCACACAGGCACUAAACAAGGUCCUGUUGAAGGAGAGGUCAUCAUUUGAAUGAUGACGGCACAGAACAUUCCUCUGUGGAAAGGAGAGAGGAAGACGAGUCGAUGAAGGGAGCAGUGGGACAUCCAGCAAUGUCAUCUGAAACACAACUACUUCCAGUGCUGGAAACCUCCUCAUGACUCACAACUCACUACAACACAUCUCUGACUUGCCAAAUGUUUUUACUCAAACACAUAAUAGAACUAGAAGUGGUUACGCCUGCCGAGAACUUUUGAAGAAUGUCCGAGUGGAGUCAGACUCAAGCACAGAUAAAGGGUAGCACAAGUUUACCCCCCCCCCCCCCCCCCCAAUAGGUCGUCCCACCAGAACGCCACUGCGUAGGUCAGGAAAUCCAUAUUAUUGCAUCAGGUUCCCCCCAAGAUGGCAGCCAUCUGGCACUUUGGGCCCUAAUUUAAAUGCCGGGCAAAGUAUCUAGCUAAAGCUAACUAAAUAGCGAAUGUAAAUCUAUUUGCAAAUGUAUUACCAUGAGCAAGAUCCUAAGCACAAGCAUCAAAGGGUCAGCGAAAAGCGGUCACAUGCCACAUGAUGGCUUUAGUUCAUGCACGAGAACUUCACUCAUAGACGGACUUUGCACUUUUCCCAACAUUUAAAUUAGGGCCCUGUGUGUCUUCAGCAAGGCCCCUCAGUGAUGUAGCAGAGUCACCCUCACAAAACAUCAACCUUGGCUCUACCGCACCUUUUAUAUGCCAAUGUUAGAGAGGACUCUUUUCACGGCCAGAGGGGUUUGCUGAUUUCGACAGGGCCGUGCUGUGUAGCAUGCUCUACUGCAGUCCAAUUCUGCUCUGUCUACCCCUCCACUCUUUUAAACGAUAAACUGUGAACGAGUGUUGAGGAGGGUAACCUCUCAAAUGCCUUGUGAUUUUAUUUGUGAUUAGGUUCAGACUUAUUUUAAAACACAUGCAGGGGUGACCGAGGUAAUAUACAUAGUUGUGUUUGUAAGUGGUUUUAUUUUUAUAUUGCAAAUUAUUUAAGUUGUGAAUGUGAACUAAUUGCGAGACUGUAAAAACAAAUGUAAAUCCAAAUCUGUCCUAAUUAAUAAUCUAAAACAUGCUUUAUGGUGAUACUGUAAAUGAAUAAAUUACAUCAAAAAGUA